GCGACGCGGCGAGGCGGUGGUCGCAGGCUGAGUGACGCAGGACGGCGGGUCUCGGGCGCUCCUAGGCACACGCUUCCUCGGUCGGGGCGGCUUUGACGGGAUGACGAGUGAGGAAGACGCAGAGAGCGCCCUCCCUGACGCCCAGGCAGGGGAGGAGAGCGAGCUGCCUGUUAUCCAGCUCUGCGGGCUGGUGGAGGAGCUCAGCUAUGGAAACUCUGCUCUCAAAACUGAGACAGAGAUGUUUGAGAAAUAUUACACUAAACUGGAGCCCAGGGAUCAACACCCCCCACGCUUAUCAGAUAUUAAAUUAUCUGCAGCAGAAUUUGCACAGUUACGGGGCAGGCGAAGAUCCAGGACCCGCACUGGUAUAGACCGAGUGGUAGGCCUCAGUGUCGACCAAAAACUUGAGCUUGUGCAAAAGGAACUGGAAGACACAAAGGAUGAAAUAAGUCACAUGAGGGCAAACGCAGAACGGGACCUGCAACAUCAUGAGGCUAUCAUCGAGGAAGCUGAAAUUCGAGGGGCUGAAGUCCAGAAAGCAAUACAUGACUUUGAAAAAGAUAUUCUAAAAACCAUAUCCAAGAAGAAGGGGAGUAUUCUGGCCACUCAGAAAGUGAUGAAGUACCUUGAUGACAUGAACCGCCGGAGGGAUAAUAUGAAGGAUAAAUUACGUUUGAAAAAUGUUUCUCUCAAAGUUCAAAGGAAAAAAAUGCUUUUGCAAUUGAAGCAGAAGGAAGAGGUGGGCGAGGCCCUCCACAAUGUUGAUUUUCAGCAGCUGAAGAUCGAGAAUGCUCAGUUUUUAGAGACAGUUGAAGCAAGGAAUCAAGAACUGAUCCGGCUAAAGAUGGCCUCUGGAAACACCCUGCAGAUGCUCAACACGUACAAAAAAUUGAAAAAAACUGAGGCUCAAAGAUGCAGGGUAUUUGCCAGAUUGAAGCAACACGUUAAUGACAGAGCUGGGGCUCCUGUUCCAGUGUGUGUCCCACCCAACUGCCAUCCCUGGCAUAAAUAAGCGGAAAAAUCAGACUGGCAUUCUGCAAUUUGUGCAUGAGACACAUCCCGCGGAUCACCGGCUUUCAGCUCAUUGCAUCCGUCUUCAGUUUACCCAACCAGUUGUUUCAGGAAGAAGCUAACCCCCGACUCCUAGUCCCUCACUGCCUGGAGAGCUGGGGCAGCCAUGCUUAGAUCAUCCUGGACCUUGAGCUUAUGCUGCAUGAGAUCUGUCUGCCUGGUCUUGUGGGGUUUGGGAGGUGGAGAUACCAGUUUAUACAAUGAAACUGCCAGUCGCAGGGCCUGAGCUCUUCAGGAUGCUUCUAAACACAGGGGUGUGGAUUGCUGGCAGCACCUGGACAACGGUGACACAGGCCACAGCGGGCAGGACACUGGAGUCCUGCUCCCAGCGGCCCUCGUGCCUAGAAGCCUGUUGCAUUCGAUGCUAAACAGAUGGCAGUGUUUAAGCAGACACCCCACAGGCGUGCGGAGGUGGACAGACAAGGGGUGGAGGGAGAAGCAGCCUUGCUUCCUCAGCUCUGGGUCUCAGUCCUCAGGUGUCCCAGGGGAAAGGGAGGCAGAACAGCUGUGCAUUGUGGGUUUGAAUGGGGGUUGUCCUGGGGGUAACGCUUCACCUCUCGGGGUGAAGUCCUCCUAUCCCCCAGCACUGGACACAGCGCCCUGCCAGCAGAGUGGCGUGACCUGCUCGCAGUUCAGGUGUGUUUGGCUGCAGUGACAGCAGCGGCCACUUAGACUUAACCAUCAGACCCCCAAGUGUGAGACCUCGUUAAAAAGGUACAGAAUAACUUUAUUACCAAAGCAGCUUCCCUGCAGUAGGCCAGGCACGGGGCUACGUGCUAAGGGAACAGCACCUAGCACAAGACAGACACGGUCUUUUCUUCUCGGUGAGUUUCCUGAGUGAGCUGGAGUUGAGAUGGCACCGUUUUCUCCGACUUUGUGCCCUCAGGCCCUGCCUGCUGGAGUGUGGUAGAAUUAAAGUGUGGCUCGUUUACAGCUGAGGGGAGUCCCUCGUGGCUGACUGUAAACCAGUGACCAAAUACCUUGUAGGUACAAUUCCAGGGUGUCCCCCAGGCUCGCCCCCUGGUGUAUCCACCCUGUGUAAUCCCCAGCCAGGACUGUGAAUAGGGUGGAUUCUCUCAUUAGGCCCUCUUCUGCUAUGUGACUAGGUUUUAUUUUGUGGCACAGUUGAACGAAAGCCAGGGAGGUCGUCCAGGUGGGCCUUACCCAAUCACAUGAGCCCCUUGCAAGCAGCACUGCUGUGGAAAAGGUGGUCAGAGGUGUGAAGUACAGGGCAGUUCUCUAGGUCAGAUAAUUCCCCGCUGCUGGGUGCAGAGUGGCCUCUAGGAGCUGAGAGCAAACUCCUGCCAGCAAUAGAAAGAACACGGGACCUCAGUCCCACAGCUCCGGGGAAAUGCAUUCUUCCGGCAGCCAGGUGGCACCAAGCCCUAGAGGAGGACCUAUUGCCCUGAUUUCAGCCCUGCAGGACCAGGGGGAGAGGGAGUGCAGCCACACUGUGCUGGGGCCUGGGACCGCCAGAAACUGUGAGACAGUGACUAGGGGUUGCUGUGGGCACUGAGCCUGUGGUCACUUGUGACAAAGCCAUGGAAAGCCAGUGCUUGCCUUUUUAGAAGCAGCCUCCUUAAGUGGCUGACAUCUUGACUCGGCGUCACCGAUUUAGCUCCCAUCACAGCUGCGGGAAGACUCCGCCCCAGCAGAGCCCCUGAGUGCUUUGCCAUAACCCUGCCUCUCCAAGUUGUUGGGCGAACAUCUCUCCACCCUCCUUUCCUUCCCUUUGAACAGCUGGUUUGCAGCAGAGUCCUGCCCCUGCCUCCCUACCUGGCAGCUGAACCCCCUGAGCUGGCUCUCAUUAUUAUUAUAGUGCCUCAAAGAAGUGAGGGGUGGGGCCAGUAUUGUGUAGCCUCUGGUGCCGAUUUGUAUCCCAGCUGCCACACUUCUGAUCCAGCUUCCUGCUAACAACUUGGGAAAGCAGCUGAAGAUGGCCCAUGUGUUUGGGUCCCUGCCACCCUUGUGGGAGGCCCAGAUGAAGCUCCUGGUUCCUGGCUGCAGCCUGGUUCAGCCCUAGCUGUUGUUGCCAUCUAGGGAGUGAACCAGCAGAUGGAAGAUAUUUCUGUCUCUCCCUCUCUCUGUAACUCUGACUUUCAAAUAAAUAAAUCUUUUAAAAAGGGGGGACCUGGAGGAAUGGGAAGAAGAAUGUCCUCUCAGGUGCUCCCACACCCAGCCAGGUGGCUCCAGGCUCUUUUUCUCCAUUUAAUUGUGACACUGGAGGGCCUGCUCUCUCAGCUCCUUUUAGACUUUCCUCUCCUAGGCUCAUUCCUUAGCUUGGAACAUUCUCUUCCCUCUUCCCCAAGACAUAUCUGACUCAACUUUUCAGCUCUCUUCCCAGCAUCCUUCUGCAGGAAAACCUGCAUUUCCUGGCCCCUGUCCUGGUAUUCCUACAGCCUGGCAUCAUUGGAGUUUGACAUUUCUUCAUGCAAAGAUUUUGCUCCCUACCUAUGUCCCAGCUGUGAGCUAGCCUCCUGGGAAGGGGAGCAAGCUUCAUCGAGCAAUGGAAAUAUAUGUCAAUUUGGACAAAGAGAUCUUGCUGAGAAGUGAGCUACUUGACAAAAUUCAAAAAGAAACCCUACAAGUGGAGGAG